CAUUUAAAGAAAGCGUAAUAGCUCACUGGUCGAGUCGGCCUGCGCGGAAGAUGUAACGGGGCUAAACCAUGCACCGAAGCUGCGGCAGCGACACUCAGGUGUUGUUGGGUAGGGGAGCGUUCUGUAAGCCUGUGAAGGUGGCCUGUGAGGGUUGCUGGAGGUAUCAGAAGUGCGAAUGCUGACAUAAGUAACGAUAAAGCGGGUGAAAAGCCCGCUCGCCGGAAGACCAAGGGUUCCUGUCCAACGUUAAUCGGGGCAGGGUGAGUCGACCCCUAAGGCGAGGCCGAAAGGCGUAGUCGAUGGGAAACGGGUUAAUAUUCCCGUACUUGGUGUUACUGCGAAGGGGGGACGGAGAAGGCUAUGUUGGCCGGGCGACGGUUGUCCCGGUUUAAGCGUGUAGGCUGGUUUUCCAGGCAAAUCCGGAAAAUCAAGGCUGAGGCGUGACGACGAGGCACUACGGUGCUGAAGCAACAAAUGCCCUGCUUCCAGGAAAAGCCUCUAAGCAUCAGGUAACAUCAAAUCGUACCCCAAACCGA
rnacentral:rRNA from 1 species